UAUCACACUUCCCAUCUGUUUAGUGCAAUUUAGCAGUCCCCACUGUAGCUUAGCUGGUGUGCACAACCCCCAAAGUUACUUGACAUCUGGAUAAGUCUCCUCAAGAGACUUGCAAAUUUAAUCACUCUACUGUACAGCAGCCGCCAGUUUAAAUAGAAAGGUCACCCACUGCCAACAGUUAAAUAGGCCAGAGCUGCAAUGGUAUGACCAACAAACAGAACAGGUCCUGAGCUGUUUGGGGACUCUCACAUAUCGUGAACACAAGGGCACACCUAUAAUUUUGACUCCACUGGCACAAAAGAAGAAAACACCAAGAAAAAGGGGGGAUUUAAAUACGACACAAUACAGGAGAAGGAAUAGAGAUUCAGCAUUAUAUGAAAUAGUCAGUGAUUGCUAGGGCAACAGUUUUUCUGCUUAGUGCCAUAAGCUGACCAGAUUUUUCAGGAGUAGUUAUUCAUAUAUAAUUCUCUAUAAUUAUAUAUUUCCACUAUGUAAUUCUUCUAGAUCCAGUGUAUGUUCUUUCACAUCAGAAAAUCACCUUGGAGAACCCCCCUGUUUUAGAUAAUCAGGCCUAUUCCUUCUUAGGGUCCUGAAAUUGGUCCCAUUAAUUUGUGAGUAGCAAUAGCUAGAAAUAACAGCUGGAAUACAAAAGGUCUUGAAAUUAUGUGCACUUUCGUGUGCGCUUGAGGAGCGAGUCUCUGGUUUAGGGUGGAGAUGUGUCCUACUUUCCAGAGGACGGCCCUCUAUCCGAGGGGAUAUCAAAGGCAGUCUUCCAUUUGAAGGACCAAGUAUGGUUUAAAUAUAAAAGACCCUAAGAAGGGAGAUAAGGGGCCUUGAACUUUCCCUUCAACAUUUGGUACCUGGACAGCAGAUGCAGCAGGCACACAGAUCCCCUGAUCACAGUCUUUCCCACUGUGGCAAGACCUGUUGUAUUUUCAUUUUCAUUACUGUAUAUCUCAAUUAAGGGGGGGCUGUCAAGCACUUAGCCUCCUGUCAGCAGCUUUGCUGCACUUACUGGGGGGUGGGGAGGAGAGUCACCACUCCUUGGAAGUGCAUCCCUCAGAUGGGUACUCCUGGUAGUUUCAUGUCUCAAAGGGGGCAGAUUUUGGUUUUGUUCUGCUAAAAUUCUAAUUUGAAGCUAAUUUCAAUGAGCACAUUUGCAAGAGGCACCCCAUAAGUUUGAAUUUGUACAAACUGGGAGAGAUGGUCUUGGAGCCUGAGAGAAGUUAAUUUACGGAAAUUCACAACUGUCAAGGCUGAGUGGCAGCACUUCUUCUAUAUAAAUGGACCACAAAAGAACAGAACAGCCAACUUUGUCACUCGUGAAAGAUUUUCAAAUGUGUUAUCUUUUUGUUGGCGAAGCCCCAAACUCUUAUCGUCCUUUGCAAGGGUUGUGCAGUCCAGCUAAAUGUCAAUUGCCAGCAAAGUCACCAGAUGUUCUGGUCUGCCAAUGGCUCCUCUUUGGACUGCAGGUUAUGGGUAUUAAAGCUGACCUACCAUCCUACCAUGUUCGAAUCUUAA